rnacentral:rRNA from 1 species
GCGAACGCUGGCGGCAGGCUUAACACAUGCAAGUCGAACGCAUCCUUCGGGGUGAGUGGCAGACGGGUGAGUAACACGUGGGAACGUACCCUUCGAUCUGGGAUAACUUCGGGAAACUGGAGCUAAUACCGGAUACGCCCUUUUGGGGAAAGGUUUACUGUCGAAGGAUCGGCCCGCGUCUGAUUAGCUAGUUGGUGGGGUAACGGCCUACCAAGGCGACGAUCAGUAGCUGGUCUGAGAGGAUGAUCAGCCACACUGGGACUGAGACACGGCCCAGACUCCUACGGGAAGCAGCAGUGGGGAAUAUUGGACAAUGGGCGCAAGCCUGAUCCAGCCAUGCCGCGUGAGUGAUGAAGGCCUUAGGGUUGUAAAGCUCUUUUGUCCGGGACGAUAAUGACGGUACCGGAAGAAUAAGCCCCGGCUAACUUCGUG